rnacentral:rRNA from 1 species
GUACACGCUGUGACUAGCAUAUCAAUAAGCGGAGGAAAAGAAACUAACAAGGAUUCCCCUAGUAACGGCGAGUGAAGCGGGAAGAGCUCAAAUUUGAAAUCUUAAAGGGUUUCCCUUUACGAAUUGUAGUUUAAAGAAGUGUUUUCUGUUGAGGUUUUGGUAAAAGUUCUUUGGAAUAGGACAUCAUAGAGGGUGAGAAUCCCGUAUUUGACCUUUACUUUCAACUUUGUGAUACACUUUCAAAGAGUCGGAUUGUUUGGGAAUGCAGUCCAAAAUGGGUGGUAAAUUUCAUCUAAAGCUAAAUAUUGGCGAGAGACCGAUAGCGAACAAGUACCGUGAGGGAAAGAUGAAAAGAACUUUGAAAAGAGAGUUAAACAGUACGUGAAAUUGUCAAAAGGGAAGCGUUUGACACCAGUGUUGUUUUUCUGAAAAUCAAUUAAAGAACUGUUUAUGCUAAGCUGUUUAGACUUUAUCAGCUAACUGUUUAGUUUUGAGCUUUUCUUUAAUGCACUUUUCAGUUAACAAGUCAACAUCAAUUUCUUUUGCUGUAAAAAAGCUUGAGGAAGGUGGCUUGAGAUUCGUCUUAAGUGUUUAUAGCCUCUUGCCUAUGCAGUCGGAGAGAUUGAGGUCUGCAGCGUAGAUCCUUCGGGGCUAAAUGCAUUUGUGCUAAGUUAUAGCAUUUUAUAGACAACUUGUUGACUAUGAUUUGUCUUGUAGCUUACUCGCUUAUGUUAUUUUACCUACGCUUAGGAUGUUGAGUCGUAGAGCACGCAG